AGUGAACGCUGGCGGCGUGCCUAAUACAUGCAAGUCGAACGAAGUGGCGCACGGGUGAGUAAUAUAUAGUUAAUCUGCCCUACACAGAGGAACAACAGUUGGGAACGACUGGUAAUACCUCAUAGUGUUGGAUGAGACUCUAUCGUAUCAGGUAGUUGGUAAGGUAAUGGCUUACCAAGGCUAUGACGCGCAACCGGGCCGAGAGGAUGAGCAGGGACAUUGGACGUGAGACACGGUAGGAACUCCUACGGGAGGGGGCGGUAAGGUAUAUUGCGCAAUGGGGGGAUCCCUGACGCAGCUACGCGGCGUAGAGGAUGACACUUUUGGAGGAGGAAAGUCAUUUUAUCAAGAUAGCGGUACCUGAUGAAUAAGCACCGGCUAACUCCGUGCCAGCAGCCGCGGUAAUAC
rnacentral:rRNA from 1 species